rnacentral:rRNA from 1 species
ACGAGCCUCACGAACGUUAUUCGGAAUCACUGGGCUUAAAGGGUGCGCAGGCGGUGUGGAAAGUCGGAUGUGAAAUACCUCAGCUUAACUGAGGAACUGCACUCGAUACUUCCAUGCUAGAGUAAGACAGAGGUGAGUGGAACUGAGGGUGGAGCGGUGAAAUGCGUUGAUAUCCUCAGGAACACCGGUGGCGAAGGCGACUCACUGGGUCUUUACUGACGCUGAUGCACGAAAGCAUGGGGAGCAAACGGGA